GACUACCGAGCGUGCAUAUUAAUCAGAUUAACUCGUUUCUUGCUUUUGCUGUUGUGGCAAUUGAACUGAGGACAAGGCUGGCUACCCAUUGUGACUUCUACAGAGGAAACUACAACCUACAUAUGGCCUUUAGUGACCUCCGGCUCCCUCCAAGGCUGUUUAAUAAAAACCAUGGUUGGACCGGCAAUA